CUCAUGCUCCAUCAGCUUUCCAGAGAGAAUUUUUCAAUUACAGAAGUAAGUUGUUCUCCAGAAUCAGUUCUCUAUUGAAAGGUCAAAAC
rfam:Chelonia mydas contig272394, whole genome shotgun sequence.